AGCCACACUGGCACUGAGAUACGGGCCAGACUCCUACGGGAGGCAGCAGUGAGGAAUAUUGCGCAAUGGGGGAAACCCUGACGCAGCAACGCCGCGUGUGGGAAGAAGGCCUUCGGGUCGUAAACCACUUUUGCACGGGACGAAAAAGGGAUAUCGAACAAAUAUCCCCGAUGACGGUACCGUGAGAAUAAGCCACGGCUAACUCUGUGCCAGCAGCCGCGGUAAGACAGAGGUGGCAAGCGUUGUUCGGAAUUACUGGGCGUAAAGAGUCUGUAGGUGGUUUGUCAAGUCUUUGGUGAAAGGCCGUAGCUUAACUAUGGGAAUGCCAAAGAGACUGGCAGGCUGGAGGCUGGGAGAGGGAAGCGGAAUUUCUGGUGUAGCGGUGAAAUGCGUAGAUAUCAGAAGGAAGGCCGGUGGCGAAGGCGGCUUCCUGGAACAGUCCUGACACUGAGAGACGAAAGCGUGGGGAGCAAACAGGAUUAGAUACCCUGGUAGUCCACGCCCUAAACGAUGGGUACUAAGUGUGGAGGGGUUAAACCCUC
rnacentral:rRNA from 1 species